UGUUUACUCCCUCCGUUCCAAAAUACUUGACUUCCAUUUGUCCAAAAAUGGAUGUACCUAUAUACUAAAACAUUUCUAGAUACAUAUAUAUUUUGACAAGUAGAAGGCAUGUAUUGUGCAACAGAGGGAGUAGAAU
rnacentral:pre_miRNA from 1 species